rnacentral:tRNA from 1 species
AAUGAAGUGCCUGAAAAAAAGGAUUAUUUUGAUAGAAUAAAUCAUGUAAAUUUUUACCUUCAUUU